CCCCUCUCAGGAUCGCAUCUGAAGAGUUUCCAGUACUCUGCCAGUUGUAGCUAUGGGAGAGACAGUCAAGCAGAGGGAUACCCAUUCCAUUCUUAGCUUGGGCAGUGGUUAGCGAGUGGAAGACAAUCUGCUAUAAGU